rnacentral:tRNA from 3 species
GCGGGGGUUGCCAAGCCUGGUCAACGGCGCCGGACUUAAGCUCCGGUCCCAAGCGGUUCGUGGGUUCAAAUCCCACCCCCCGCA